GAAAGUGAAGACACUCUGUAUGAUGGGGUUAACAUAAAAUGCUUUUAUGUGUGUUCAUACAAAGAACCAAGGCAAAUAACCUGAAAUGUUUCCAUUUGCUUAACUGGUGAGAGAUUUGGCCAUUCAGACUAAUUAGCAUGCAUCUAUAAUAUCAGUGCUUGAAUUAGGCCAGAACUAAGACCAAGAUACCAAUUUUAAUAGAAAGAUGUGAUGACCUUAUUACUGACAUUGUAUGUGAGAGGUAAGAUUAAAGUGGUAGAAAAAGAUAAAUAAGGAAACAAAAGAGAGAGAAAGAAUG
rnacentral:lncRNA from 1 species